rnacentral:misc_RNA from 1 species
UAGAUUUAGAUCUAAAUAGUUAAAGAUGAAGCUAAUCUUGAUGUUCUGGAGAUUUUUAAAAAAUAUAUAUUUAUCUUUCUUCAGUUUUUUGAAAUAUUACUGGUCUCCUCUUGCUAUAGUAUUAUUGACUUGCUUUAGCUUAUUUCAAUAUCUAGAAAAUGGAAAGUUAAACAAUGUUUUAGUUGCGAAGGAUAAAGAAAGAGCUCAGGUUCUUCAAGAAAUUCAUCAUUCGGCUGAUAGAAUACGCCAGGAUAUUUUAUUGAGUGGGUAUGACAGAUCUAAAUCUCUCCUAAAGCUUGAAAGUGCGGGAAUACUAGUGGGUGGAACUAGAAAUAUGAUAGAAAAGAGGGAGGGAGAUGUUUGCCCAGAACAUUACAAAGGAAACCAAGACUGGCCUUUCCAGUUUACAUCCUGGGAAACACAGAUCUGUGACAACAAAUUUAAGAUAGAUGAGCUUGUAACUAUAUAUAUAAACUAUAUUGGACCUAUUAAUACUGGUAAUCUGGUUCAGCAAAUACAUUCUGUAUAUCCAGGAAUUAGGAUUAUUGCAGACUGCUCGAAAGAUGAAACAGUGUAUGGUCUAGAUUGUGUUGAUGAAGAACCAACUAUUGAUACUCUAGCUCAAACUAUUUCAACAAAAUAUUUACUUUACGCUCCGGAUAUAGAACAUUUUAACUCUUGGGCAAACCUUCACAGAUCUAUCCGGGUCCUAUCAGAUUCAGAGCUGGCUGUUUUUGGUGUUGGUGGUUCCAGUCGGAAUAGAACGGGGCAUUGGAGCACGGGUUGUACACAGAUAAAUCUACAAUAUUAUAGAUUACAGAUGUUGGAAGGUUAUGAGGCUGAGUAUGAAGAUUGUAUGGUGUGUGAUUACACUGGAGGACCAGUUCUAAUCAGGGUAGAAGAUAUACUCACCAAUCCUUCAAACGUUCUUGAUCCUGCUGCAUAUCUUCUGGAUUCAGCUCUCAGAAAGCGAGGAAUAUGGUUGGUAUGCCCUGAUAUUCUUUACUUUACAAGACAGGGUAAAAGAGAAUUUGAUGUGAACGGAGAUAAUUUAAGGCUCUUGGCUUCAAAACAUAAUUUUCAGGGUUUGGUGACAAGUAGAUCGUAUAAAUAUGAAACUGAAUAUACAUGUGAAGAGCUGGGACUUUACUGUGAUGCUGAGAGUCAGGCAGCAGAAAUCCUAGUGCCUUGGUGUUGUAUCGAGGCCUUUCGAGGGGUUUUCCAUGCACUUGAGUUUAUAAGGGAUAAAUAUGGAAUAUAUUAUGAGAUAGAAUCUGGGACAUUAUUGGGCGCUGUCAAGCUUGGAAACUUUAUACCUUGGGACAUAGAUUUAGAUAUAGGAUUCCGAACCCAAGAUUUCUCUUUACUCCAACCUGGAGGAAGAGCAGGGAAAUAUCUUCUCAGCCAAGGGUUCAAUCUCAACAGGUAUUCUGAAGAUAAUUAUUCUAAAAAGGGAGCAGGAUUCUUCAAUAUUCAAAACAAAGGUUUGAAUACAGAAAUGCUGGGAGACCAAAACAAUCUCUCUCUGAAUUCUCUACCUCCUGGACUCUCAUCUAUUCCAACUUUAGUUCAGGUUGGUCCUGACCUCUGGGUUCCAACAAUAUCUAAUCCAGGCCUUCAUAUCAGAGGAAGGUACGGGCCCGGGUAUUUGUACCAUGUACAGAGCUGGAGGCAUGCAGGCCUUGAUUCAGCUUUUCAAAGUUAUAGUCCUGUUAACUGGCAACCCUGUUCAGAUUCUUCUAAUCAAGCCUGUCUUAUAAACUAUCCAAUAAUAGACAUUAAAUGAGCGCUAACACCUGUAGAGUUUUAAAUCCGGAAUAAUUCCGUAUUUCUACCUGGUUCCUGAAGUGCGGAAAUCACAAGCUAGGAACGGAGGAGAGUUCCAAUAUACAGCUGUUAGGAAAUAGAACAGAACUCGAAGUCACUAAGAGCUCCUCUGAGAUACCCAAAAGUGAGAAUUUACAAGAAACAUUAAGAAAAAAGGAAAUUAAACAGGAAAACUGGAAGGGAUCUCUCAACCUUUACCUUUAUUAGGAAAUGAAGACAUCAUUGGAGAACCCCUUUUCAGCUAUAAAAAAUUUGGAUCUGAGAUCCCUAAUAUAUUAUAAAGCCAUAACUUAAAAUCUAGCCAAAUCUAUUUUUGAUCAUAAAAAAAAGUAUAGAAGGCAAUUGCCUUUGGUGUUUUUGAGAUUUUUUUGACAAAAAUUUUAGAUUUGGCUGAGAUUUUGGUUAUAGCUCACUACUAUAUAUAGAAACAUUGUCCU